rnacentral:rRNA from 1 species
UACGUAGGAUCCGAGCGUUGUCCGGAAUUACUGGGUGUAAAGGGCGUGUAGGUGGGUCUUUAAGUCGAUGGUGAAAUCUUACAGCUUAACUGUAAAACUGCCGUCGAUACUGGAGGCCUUGAGUGCGGCAGAGGGAGAUGGAAUUCAUGGUGUAGCGGUGAAAUGUGUAGAUAUCAUGAAGAACACCAGUAGCGAAGGCGGUCUCCUGGUCCGUAACUGACACUGAGGCGCGAAAGCGUGGGGAG